AUUGAACGCUGGCGGCAGGCCUAACACAUGCAAGUCGAGCGGAUGAAGGGAGCUUGCUCCUGGAUUCAGCGGCGGACGGGUGAGUAAUGCCUAGGAAUCUGCCUGGUAGUGGGGGAUAACGUCCGGAAACGGGCGCUAAUACCGCAUACGUCCUGAGGGAGAAAGUGGGGGAUCUUCGGACCUCACGCUAUCAGAUGAGCCUAGGUCGGAUUAGCUAGUUGGUGGGGUAAAGGCCUACCAAGGCGACGAUCCGUAACUGGUCUGAGAGGAUGAUCAGUCACACUGGAACUGAGACACGGUCUAGACUCCUACGGGAGGCAGCAGUGGGGAAUAGUGGACGAUGGGCGAAAGCCUGAUCCAGCCAUGCCGCGUGUGUGAAGAAGGUCUUCGGAUUGUAAAGCACUUUAAGUGGGGAGGAAGGGCAGUAAGUUAAUACCUUGCUGUUUUGACGUUACCAACAGAAUAAGCACCGGCUAACUUCGUG
rnacentral:rRNA from 1 species